CAGCAGCCGCGGUAAUACGAAGGGGGCUAGCGUUGCUCGGAAUUACUGGGCGUAAAGGGAGCGUAGGCGGGUCGUUAAGUUGGGGGUGGAAGCCCGGGGCUCAACCUCGGAACUGCCUUCAACACUGGCGAUCUUGAGUAUGAGAGAGGUGUGUGGAACUCCGAGUGUAGAGGUGAAAUUCGUAGAUAUUCGCAAGAACACCGGUGGCGUAGGCGGCUCACUGGCCCGGUACUGACGCUGAGGCACGAAAGCGUGGGGAGCAAACAGGAUUAGAUACCCCCGUAGUCCCUGUCUCUUAUAC
rnacentral:rRNA from 1 species